rnacentral:rRNA from 1 species
UACGAAGGGGGCUAGCGUUGCUCGGAAUCAUUGGGCGUAAAGGGUGCGUAGGCGGGUCUUUAAGUCAGGGGUGAAAUCCUGGAGCUCAACUCCAGAACUGCCUUUGAUACUGAAGAUCUUGAGUUCGGGAGAGGUGAGUGGAACUGCGAGUGUAGAGGUGAAAUUCGUAGAUAUUCGCAAGAACACCAGUGGCGAAGGCGGCUCACUGGCUCGGUACUGACGCUGAGGUGCGAAAGCGUGGGGAGCAAACAGG